AUCUCGUUUUUGUCAUUCCUACCGCGUCUUCUUCCACCUUCUUCAGCUUCCUCUCGCACUUUACCAUCAUUGCAAAAACGAGAUUCCACCUGGGUGAUCUUGUCUCGGUCCGAGAAAAAAGACGAGGCGAUUAAAUGCCCUCGCUCCAAAUGAAAAAGGGCAACUUGGGCAACCAACGUCUUCUGAAGAAUCUGGCGCAACAUUU
ensembl:ncRNA F25H8.22 ncRNA